rnacentral:lncRNA from 1 species
GUGGACACAAUGCUACAGAUGAUGCUACAGCAUGUGGUGUAGCAUCACAAACGCUGAAUAAAAUAAAGCGAUAAAUAGCAGAAUAAUAAAUAACACAGAUCGUUUGUUAACCNNNNNNNNNNNNNNNAUCGCCUAGACACUACCCGUGCAAUCCUAUCUAAGAACCUCUUAGAUAAUGAGACCCCGUCCCAAAUUCCCUCUAACAACACGUACCAUGUUGCUGUCAAUAAUAAUAAUCAAGAUGGAGACACUCUCCUAAGAACUAGACCACACUCUUGCUUAAAAGCUUAUGAGUGAAUCACACACACUAACUCCGUGCUUCAAAGCUUAGGAGUAGCUUACAAUAAACAACCAAAACACAGUCCUAAACUUGCAUCAAAUUGACACAAGAAAGGCUGACAAAAGACACAAACUCUAAACCCUAAAAACUCACACUUUGUAAAGAACACAGUUUAGAAUACAUGAAAAUAAUAGCUUGAGGCUUCACAUAUUUAUAGUCUUCAAUGUCUUGAUGGGCAAGCUAGGGUUGCAGAUCAAAACCCUUGCAACAGCUGCGGCCAAACCUAGAUUAAAAUUGAAAAUAUGUUUUGUGUUGUACCAAACAAAAAAAAGCGAACAAAAAUAUAAUAUAAUUAUAUUUUUGUUUUUAAUAACUUUCCUUANNNNNNGAGAUUGACAGAAAAAAAUUCUGCACUUAAAACAGAGCAUCAGGAUGCUGUACGAGGAUGCUACAGCAUCUCAGUCCAGCAUCUGGCUGGUUGGCUUUUGCAAAAUGUAGCCAAUCAAAACACCAACACA